rnacentral:tRNA from 1 species
GGGAAUGUGGCUUAGUGGUAGAGUGCUUGUCUAGCAUGCAAGAAGCCCUGGGUUGAAUUCCACAAUACCA